AGUGAACGCUGGCGGUAGGCCUAACACAUGCAAGUCGAACGGCAGCACAGGAGAGCUUGCUCUCUGGGUGGCGAGUGGCGGACGGGUGAGGAAUACAUCGGAAUCUACUUUUUCGUGGGGGAUAACGUAGGGAAACUUACGCUAAUACCGCAUACGACCUACGGGUGAAAGCAGGGGAUUUUCGGACCUUGCGCGAUUGAAUGAGCCGAUGUCGGAUUAGCUAGUUGGCGGGGUAAAGGCCCACCAAGGCGACGAUCCGUAGCUGGUCUGAGAGGAGGAUCAGCCACACUGGAACUGAGACACGGUCCAGACUCCUACGGGAGGCAGCAGUGGGGAAUAUUGGACAAUGGGCGCAAGCCUGAUCCAGCCAUACCGCGUGGGUGAAGAAGGCCUUCGGGUUGUAAAGCCCUUUUGUUGGGAAAGAAAUCCAGCUGGUUAAUACCCGGUUGGGAUGACGGUACCCAAAGAAUAAGCACCGGCUAACUUCGUGCCAGCCGCCGCCGCGG
rnacentral:rRNA from 1 species